AAACCCUCUCUUCGCUCCUCCUCCUCCACCGUUCACAGACGCAUGCGGCGUCGGUGCUGGGAGUUCACGGUGGAGAGACGGACAUGGGAAUCUAUUGCACUUUCCAGCUCUCCGGUGGUGACAGAACUUCUGAUUCUGCUGGCGGUGAUGCUGAUUUAACGUGUUGUUCACUGAUUGGCCACCUCCUAAUCUGUGAGAAACUCGGGUUGUUUGUUAUAUAUGGUUUUUGCUGCCUCCGUUGUAGUCUUUCUCCGUCGCGGCACCCUUAUCUUAUUUUUCUUCUGCAUGCUCGGUGCAUCCUCUCCUCCGUCAUCUGUCGGCUUGGCUUAGAAAAAGAAAGGGGAGAACUGAACAUGGAGU